rnacentral:rRNA from 1 species
UACGUAGGUGGCAAGCGUUGUCCGGAUUUACUGGGCGUAAAGAGCGCGCAGGCGGUCGUUCAAGUCGCGUGUGAAAGCCCCCGGCUCAACUGGGGAGGGUCACGCGAUACUGAUCGACUCGAAGGCAGGAGAGGGUAGUGGGAUUCCCGGUGUAGUGGUGAAAUGCGUAGAUAUCGGGAGGAACACCAGUGGCGAAAGCGGCCACCUGGACUGUACCUGACGCUCAAACGCGAAAGCUAGGGGAGCGAACAGG